AACGAACGCUGGCGGCAUGCCUAACACAUGCAAGUCGAACGAGACCUUCGGGUCUAGUGGCGCACGGGUGCGUAACGCGUGGGAACCUGCCCUUAGGUUCGGAAUAACUCCCCGAAAGGGGUGCUAAUACCGGAUAAUGUCUUCGGACCAAAGAUUUAUCGCCUUUGGAUGGGCCCGCGUUGGAUUAGCUAGUUGGUAGGGUAAAAGCCUACCAAGGCGACGAUCCAUAGCUGGUCUGAGAGGAUGAUCAGCCACACUGGGACUGAGACACGGCCCAGACUCCUACGGAAGGCAGCAGUGGGGAAUAUUGGACAAUGGGCGAAAGCCUGAUCCAGCAAUGCCGCGUGAGUGAUGAAGGCCUUAGGGUUGUAAAGCUCUUUUACCCGAGAUGAUAAUGACAGUACCGGGAGAAUAAGCUCCGGCUAACUCCGUG
rnacentral:rRNA from 1 species